GAUCAUGACUCAGGAUGAACGCUAGCUACAGGCUUAACACAUGCAAGUCGAGGGGCAGCAUGAACUUAGCUUGCUAAGUUUGAUGGCGACCGGCGCACGGGUGAGUAACACGUAUCCAACCUGCCGAUGACUCGGAGAUAGCCUUUCGAAAGAAAGAUUAAUACCCGAUGGCAUAGUUCUUCCGCAUGGUAGAACUAUUAAAGAAUUUCGGUCAUCGAUGGGGAUGCGUUCA
rnacentral:rRNA from 1 species